rnacentral:lncRNA from 1 species
GGAUUUUUGUAUUGCCCUAGGAAUUUGCUUUAAUCUCGCUUUUAUCAUCUCGACGGAAGAUUAUCCUAACUUAUCUCUGUUUUGGGACCCUUUUGCAGUACCUGAGAUGAAGAUGAGUCGAUUCAAAAUUUUUGAGGAUUGAAGGUUACCUCUAAGGAGUUUGAACGUUGUUUCGGAGAUCCUUCUGGUAGGGCGGUCGAUGGGUGGGACCAUUCGGCAAGUUGCUGAAACUACUUCG